CGCGGGAAGGCGAGCGCUGGCGGCGUGCUUACACAUGCAAGUCGAACGAUGAAGCCCUUCGGGGUGGAUUAGUGGCGAACGGGUGAGUAACACGUGGGCAAUCUGCCCUUCACUCUGGGACAAGCCCUGGAAACGGGGUCUAAUACCGGAUAACACUCUGUCCCGCAUGGGACGGGGUUAAAAGCUCCGGCGGUGAAGGAUGAGCCCGCGGCCUAUCAGCUUGUUGGUGGGGUGAUGGCCUACCAAGGCGACGACGGGUAGCCGGCCUGAGAGGGCGACCGGCCACACUGGGACUGAGACACGGCCCAGACUCCUACGGGAGGCAGCAGUGGGGAAUAUUGCACAAUGGGCGAAAGCCUGAUGCAGCGACGCCGCGUGAGGGAUGACGGCCUUCGGGUUGUAAACCUCUUUCAGCAGGGAAGAAGCGAAAGUGACGGUACCUGCAGAAGAAGCGCCGGCUAACUACGUGCCAGCAGCCGCGGUAAUACGUAGGGCGCAAGCGUUGUCCGGAAUUAUUGGGCGUAAAGAGCUCGUAGGCGGCUUGUCACGUCGGAUGUGAAAGCCCGGGGCUUAACCCCGGGUCUGCAUUCGAUACGGGCUAGCUAGAGUGUGGUAGGGGAGAUCGGAAUUCCUGGUGUAGCGGUGAAAUGCGCAGAUAUCAGGAGGAACACCGGUGGCGAAGGCGGAUCUCUGGGGCCAUUACUGGACG
rnacentral:rRNA from 1 species